UGGGGAAUUUUGGACAAUGGGGGCAAACCUGAUCCAGCAAUGCCGCGUGUGUGAAGAAGGCCUUCGGGUUGUAAAGCACUUUUGUCCGGGAAGAAAUCGCACCUGAUAAUACCGGGUGUGGAUGACGGUACCGGAAGAAUAAGGACCGGCUAACUACGUGCCAGCAGCCGUGGUAAUACGUAGGGUCCAAGCGUUAAUCGGAAUUACUGGGCGUAAAGCGUGCGCAGGCGGUUGUGCAAGACCGAUGUGAAAUCCCCGGGCUUAACCUGGGAAUUGCAUUGGUGACUGCACGGCUAGAGUGUGUCAGAGGGGGGUAGAAUUCCACGUGUAGCAGUGAAAUGCGUAGAGAUGUGGAGGAAUACCGAUGGCGAAGGCAGCCCCCUGGGAUAACACUGACGCUCAUGCACGAAAGCGUGGGGAGCAAACAGG
rnacentral:rRNA from 1 species